CCUCUGCAUCCCUAGUAGCGGCGAGCGAGCGGGAAGAGCUCAAAUUUAUAAUCUGGCACCUUCGGUGUCCGAGUUGUAAUCUCUAGAAAUGUUUUCCGCGUUGGACCGCACACAAGUCUGUUGGAAUACAGCGGCAUAGUGGUGAGACCCCCGUAUAUGGUGCGGACGCCCAGCGCUUUGUGAUACAUUUUCGAAGAGUCGAGUUGUUUGGGAAUGCAGCUCAAAUUGGGUGGUAAAUUCCAUCUAAAGCUAAAUAUUGGCGAGAGACCGAUAGCGAACAAGUACCGUGAGGGAAAGAUGAAAAGCACUUUGGAAAGAGAGUUAACAGUACGUGAAAUUGUUGGAAGGGAAACGCUUGAAGUCAGACUUGCUUGCCGAGCAAUCGGUUUGCAGGCCAGCAUCAGUUUUCCGGGAUGGAUAAUGGUAGAGAGAAGGUAGCAGUUUCGGCUGUGUUAUAGCUCUCUGCUGGAUACAUCUUGGGGGACUGAGGAACGCAGUGUGCCUUUGGCGGGGGUUUCGACCUCUUCACACUUAGGAUGCUGGUGGAAUGGCUUUAAACGACCCGUCUUGA
rnacentral:rRNA from 1 species